AUUGAACGCUGGCGGCGGGCCUAACACAUGCAAGUCGAACGAGUGGCAGACGUGUGAGACAUGUCUGGGACACUCCCUUAUGGAGGGGGAUACCUACUGGAAACGGUAGCUAAUACCGCAUACCCUCAGAUUUUCCCAGAUUGGAUUAGCUAGUUGGUGGGGUAACGGCUUACCAAGGCAACGAUCCCUAGCUGGUCUGAGAGGAUGACCGUCCACACUGGAACUGAGACACGGUCCAGACUCCUACGGGAGGCAGCAGGGGGGAAUAUUGCACAAUGGGCGAAAGCCUGAUGCAGCAAUGCCGCGUGUAUGAAGAAGGCCUGCGGGUUGUAAAGUACUUUUAGUGGGGAGGCGGUACCCGCAGAAGAAGCACCGGCUAACUCCGUGCCAGCAGCCGCGGUAAUUC
rnacentral:rRNA from 1 species